CUACGGACUUAGAAAACUGAGCCUUGAUCGAGAAAUCUUUCAAGUGGAAGCUCUCAAAUUCAGGGAAACCUAAAUCUGUUUACAGAUAUGGCAAUCCUGAGCCAAGCCGAAACAAGUCCUGAGUGUUAAAGCUCAUAACUCAUCGGAAGGUGCAGAGACUCGACGGGAGCUACCCUAACGUUAAGCCGAGGGUAAAGGGAGAGUCCAAUUCUCAAAGCCGAAG
rnacentral:ncRNA from 1 species